AUAACUCCUGCCAGUUAUGGUGGCAUGUGCCUUUAACUCCAGCACACUCCUUUAAGCCCAACACUCCAGAGGUGGAGGCUAGUAGAUCUCUGAGUUUCAGGACAGUCUGAUCUAAAAGCAAGUUCCAGGACAGCCAGAGCUACAUGACGAGGUGAGCGCAACAAAUUGGUGGCCCAUACGGGGACCCGAGGAUCUCAUGGAUUCAGAACUCUUCAGCUGAGGAACAACGGUACCAAUUUGCCUAUUAUCUGAGUUGGAAAUUGGUCGACUAAAGCGGAGCAGUUGUCCAGAAAGCUGCUCCUCCAGAUUGCCAGAUGCAACAGCACUCGACUGGACCCCGUCACCUUGGAGGACUUUACCUCCUGGAUCACCAAUGCCUUCUCAUUUUUUAAGGAAUGGGCGGGAAUGUUGGCCUGGGGGGCAGUGGUCCUCCUGGGUUGUGUCUUUUGUAUCUGGCUAUUAUGUCGAUUCAAACGAGAGCACGCUCAGUAUAAGGCAGUGGUGUACCAAGCAUUGAUGGUGAUUAAAGAUGGUGCAUCUCC
rnacentral:lncRNA from 1 species